rnacentral:rRNA from 1 species
UACGGAGGGGGCCAGCGUUGUUCGGAAUCAUUGGGCGUAAAGGGCGCGUAGGCGGCUCGGCAAGUCAGACGUGAAAUCCCGCGGCUCAACCGCGGAACUGCGUUUGAAACUGCCGGGCUUGAGUCCCGGAGAGGGUAGUGGAAUUCCCAGUGUAGCGGUGAAAUGCGUAGAUACUGGGAGGAACACCGGUGGCGAAGGCGGCUACCUGGACGGGUACUGACGCUGAGGCGCGAAAGCGUGGGGAGCAAACAGGAUUAGAUACCCUGGUAGUCCACGCUGUAAACGAUGGGCACUUGGUGUUGCGGGUAUCGACCCCUGCAGUGCCGAAGCUAACGCAUUAAGUGCCCCGCCUGGGGAGUACGGUCGCAAGGCUGAA